CAAUAAUGGUUUCAUUGUAUAUUUCUAGAAAUUGUCCUUCCAUCCGAUAUUCCCAACCUCGUUCUUUCAAAGAAGUAGAGCGAUUGUAUAUCAUUCUUACAGAUGAAGGGAUCAUUCCUGUAUUUGAAGACAUCGUAUGCGUCUUGCCUGAACCUGUUUGACCGUAAGCGAAUAUACAAACAUUAUAUCCGUCCAUAGCACUUUGAAUUAACUGUGACAGUUCAUUAAAUACAUCCUCAUUAGUCGUUUCAGGGGAAAAUACACGAUCGAAAUUAAAGGCAUACUGUUUUAUCCCGUUCCCUGUUAACGAAGACCCUGGGGCUUGAGCAACAAUCUCUAUAGUACUAGCUUCGGAAUUUUGAUCAGGAAAAGCUAUUUGUGCUGAUUCUCCAUCGCCAAGGGGAGGUCGCACUCGACAAAAAACGCGUAUGUUACCUUUAAGUUCUUGAAUGGUAUUAUGGAGUUUUCUUCUCAGAGUUUCCUCAGCUAUGAGUUUCUCAACUAAACCGUCUCUCUCAACAUUGGCAGAUUUUAAAAUGCCUUCUAGUUCUAUAAUCUUAUUUUUCAUAGUAUAAACAUCUUCUUCAAGUGUUUUGAUAGUGCUUUCUAAAGCCCGAUUUGUAGAUUCAAGCUUCUGAACGUUGGCACUUUGUUGGUCCAACGAAGAUUUCAGAUUUUCCUUAACAACUGUUUCAGAAGCAAGUUCUCUUUGUAAUUGUUCAAUCUGCUGUUUCAAAGAAUUAUUUUCUUCCUGAAGCGGUUGAAUUGCAGAUUGCAGUCUUUUUUUUUCUAGAUCAUGCUUAUUUUGGACACGUUGCAUAGCCAGCGAAGCGCCCUCCUGAACUUUCUUUAAUAAAGAAUCCUUUUCCUCUUGUAGUCUGGAAAUUUUGAGUUCAUUUUCUGAAGUAAGCUCUUUAAUCUUGUGUGAAAAGUGUUCUUCGGCAGACUGCAAUUCAUUUUUGUACUCCAUGAUUAAACUAUUUGCUUUUUGUUCAAUAUUGGAAGCAAAAUCCUGUAAUUCUGCUUGAUGCUGAAGCUCAGCUGUCUCCAUCACCCGAGCAUGGUUCUCUUCCAACAUGGCCAUGCGCUGAUGAUUUUCACUUUUCAUUGAGUUUAACAUUAUCUCCAAACUCUCCAUACCCUUUUGAGAAACGAUUUUAUUAGCCUCCGCCUCAGCUUUUUCUCUCAGAGCCACUGAAAAUUGUUCUUGUAACUCCGAUGUACGACUCCUCUCGACUUCUAAUGAUUCUUCAAGCAUAGCAAUUCUCUGUUCGUAAAAUUUGUAAUUAGCUGGUCUUUUUGAGGGUGAAGGAAUAACUUUAGCCGAUAAUUGAGCAUAAGCCAUUUCCAUACUCCUCAACCGGUCUUCUGUAGUCCUUAAGGCGCUGGCAUUAACAGACUUUUCAUCAUUAUAAGAUUCCAUACUUUCAUCUGACAUACUUCUCACAUCAUCGCUACUAUUUAAACUGGAUGAAACAGCACUGGCAGGUCUACCAAAAUGAGAAGAAGCAGACACUGACCGACUUGAAAUGGGAUGUGCAGACUUGGGCAUCCUGGGAUUAGAGGACGCGGUAAAAGGCCUGGCUUUUUUUGCAAGACUAGAAGAUUUAACCGAGGCUAAGCUUCCUGGUGGUAACAUCUUACUGGGAAAUUUAGCAGGUUUCAGUUGGUUAACUUCAUUUUGCAAUGAUAACCGAGGUUUCAGAAUAUUUGAUGAAGAUGAAUUAGUUUUAAUAGUCGGAGGAGGUAUAUUAGACGUAAAUUCUUUAGCAAUUUCUCGACUUUGCGACAAAGAACUCGAGGACUGAGGUAGAUGCGACUAUAAGGAAAAAAAUUAAUAAAUUACACUUAAAUUUGUUCUUACAGUUAAACUUUUAUGUCCUUCUUCUUCCAUACUUUCUCCUUUUCCCCAAAAACAUGUGGGUAUUGUAAGGUGUUAGAGAAGUUGAGUUUCAUAAGC